GAUGAACGCUAGCGGCAGGCCUAAUACAUGCAAGUCGAACGGCCCCGACACUUCGGUGUCGGGGUAGUGGCGCACGGGUGCGUAACGCGUACACAACAUACCCUUUACAGGGGGAUAGCGGCGGGAAACUGCCAGUAAUACCCCAUGUCCUUGCGAGGUGGCAUCAUUUUGCAAAGAAAGUUCAAGCGGUAAAGGAUUGGUGUGCGUCCGAUUAGCUAGUUGGCGGGGUAACGGCCCACCAAGGCGACGAUCGGUAGGGGGGUGUGAGAGCAUGGCCCCCCACACGGUACGUNAGACACGGACCCGGACCUCCUACGGGAGGGCAGCAGUAAA
rnacentral:rRNA from 1 species